rnacentral:rRNA from 1 species
GAUGAACGCUGGCGGCGUGCUUAACACAUGCAAGUCGAACGGAAAGGCUCCUGCUUGCAGGGGUACUCGAGUGGCGAACGGGUGAGUAACACGUGGGUGAUCUGCCCUGCACUUCGGGAUAAGCCUGGGAAACUGGGUCUAAUACCGGAUAGGACGAUGGUUUGGAUGCCAUUGUGGAAAGUUUUUCGGUGUGGGAUGAGCUCGCGGCCUAUCAGCUUGUUGGUGGGGUAAUGGCCUACCAAGGCGUCGACGGGUAGCCGCCUGAGAGGGUGUACGGCCACAUUGGGACUGAGAUACGGCCCAGACUCCUACGGGAGGCAGCAGUGGGGAAUAUUGCACAAUGGGCGCAAGCCUGAUGCAGCGACGCCGCGUGGGGGAUGACGGCCUUCGGGUUGUAAACUCCUUUCGCUAGGGACGAAGCGCAAGUGACGGUACCUGGAGAAGAAGCACCGGCUAACUACGUG